rnacentral:lncRNA from 1 species
UUCGCUCCACCACCCAGGCCUCCUGCUGCGGCACGAACAGUACCACGGUGUUUCGGGGCAAUCCAGAGGAGGCGCGGCGCGGAGCGCGGCCAGAAGCCAGUAGAGAGCCCUGAAGGAAAAAAAGGGCCCCAGUGCCCCGCGCCGCGCGCGCCAGCAUUUCCCACCGCCGCAGCGACCUCCGGAACCAACGAGACGGUUGCCAUAGUGAUAUUCUCUGGUAGUCCCGCUGUGUUGUGCCCAGGACUCCCACUGGGGACUGACCCCAAUCCCGUUGCCAUGGAAACUG